GACGAACGCUGGCGGCGUGCCUAAUACAUGCAAGUAGAACGCACAGUUUAUACCGUAGCUUGCUACACCAUAAACUGUGAGUUGCGAACGGGUGAGUAACGCGUAGGUAACCUGCCUGGUAGCGGGGGAUAACUAUUGGAAACGAUAGCUAAUACCGCAUAAUAUUGAUUAUUGCAUGAUAAUUGAUUGAAAGAUGCUAUUGCAUCACUACCAGAUGGACCUGCGUUGUAUUAGCUAGUAGGUGAGGUAACGGCUCACCUAGGCGACGAUACAUAGCCGACCUGAGAGGGUGAUCGGCCACCCUGGGACUGAGACACGGCCCAGACUCCUACGGGAGGCAGCAGUAGGGAAUCUUCGGCAAUGGACGAAAGUCUGACCGAGCAACGCCGCGUGAGUGAAGAAGGUUUUCGGAUCGUAAAGCUCUGUUGUAAGAGAAGAACGGGUGUGAGAGUGGAAAGUUCACACUGUGACGGUAUCUUACCAGAAAGGGACGGCUAACUACGUG
rnacentral:rRNA from 1 species